rnacentral:rRNA from 1 species
UACGUAGGGUGCGAGCGUUGUCCGGCAUUAUUGGGCGUAAAGGGCUCGUAGGCGGUUUGUCGCGUCGGGAGUGAACACGCCGUGCUUAACACGGCGCUUGCUUUCGAUACGGGCAGACUAGAGGUAUGCAGGGGAGAACGGAAUUCCUGGUGGAGCGGUGAAAGGCGCAGAGAUCAGGAGGAACACCGGUGGCGAAGGCGGUUCUCUGGGCAUUACCUGACGCUGAGGAGCGAAAGUGUGGGGAGCGAACAGG